GAUGAACGCUGGCGGCGUGCCUAAUACAUGCAAGUCGAGCGAACGGAUGAGAAGCUUGCUUCUCUGAUGUUAGCGGCGGACGGGUGAGUAACACGUGGAUAACCUACCUAUAAGACUGGGAUAACUUCGGGAAACCGGAGCUAAUACCGGAUAAUAUUUUGAACCGCAUGGUUCAAAAGUGAAAGACGGUCUUGCUGUCACUUAUAGAUGGAUCCGCGCUGCAUUAGCUAGUUGGUAAGGUAACGGCUUACCAAGGCAACGAUGCAUAGCCGACCUGAGAGGGGGAUCGCCCACACUGGACCUGAGACCCGGUCCAGCCUCCACGGGGAGGCAGCGUUGGGAAUUCUCCCGCAAGGGGCGAAAGCCUAACGGAGCAACGCCGCGUGAGGAAGAAGGGUUUCCGAUUCGUAAACCCCUUUUAUAGGGAAAAAACAAAGUGGUAGGAAACGAUGCCCGUCUGAAGGUUACUAAACCAGAAGCCCCCGCUAACUUCCGU
rnacentral:rRNA from 1 species